UCGAAGAUCCAAGAAAUUCCCGGUACAAAACUUUUUUAAUUUAAUAAUUCAUUAUCUUUUUUCAUUCAUCCUA
rnacentral:tRNA from 1 species